GACGAACGCUGGCGGCGUGCUUAACACAUGCAAGUCGAACGGAAAGGCCCUGCUUUUGUGGGGUGCUCGAGUGGCGAACGGGUGAGUAACACGUGAGUAACCUGCCCUUGACUUUGGGAUAACUUCAGGAAACUGGGGCUAAUACCGGAUAGGAGCUCCUGCUGCAUGGUGGGGGUUGGAAAGUUUCGGCGGGUGGGGCUGGACUCGCGGCUUAUCAGCUUGUUGGUGGGGUGGUGGCUUACCAAGGCUUUGACGGGUAGCCGGCCUGAGAGGGUGACCGGCCACAUUGGGACUGGGGUACGGCCCAGACUCCUACGGGGGGCAGCAGUGGGGAAUAUUGCACAAUGGGCGGAAGCCUGAUGCGGCAACGCCGCGUGCGUGAUGACGGCCUUCGGGUUGUAAACCGCUUUCGCCUGUGACGAAGCGUGAGUGACGGUAAUGGGUAAAGAAGCACCGGCUAACUACGUG
rnacentral:rRNA from 1 species